GCAGUCUGUGAACAGCACUUUCUACACUCCUCGCCGGCAAGCAGGCUCGUGUCGAGGGUAGCAGAUUCCACUGGCGAUUCCACUGGUGCUGUGAGCCAUCUGCUGGCUUUGCACCUCUUAGAAUCUGGUGUUUUUUUGUUUUUUGUUUUGUUUUGUUUUUAAUCCUUUUCCGGGUAACCAGAAAGGGAAGCUCAAUUCCCUUAACCCCGAGACCACUAAAGGGGCAAUACAAAAAGAGGAAAUAAAUACAUUUUUAAGCAUACAAGAGCUUCACAAUCCAGUAGAUCAUUUUGUAUUCUGGAUUCAUUUUGCUUUGUAUUCAUAUGCUAAUCUCUUCCUUUCCACGAAGGGAUUAUAGGGUUCCACAAUGGGGUAUCUGUGUAAUUUUCUAAAAGGGCACAAAGGGUUUAAAUCAUUGUUUCUUUGUAGUUGGAGGCAAGGGAGAGCAGGAGGAAUGAAAAUUUACACUGAAGGUUUUUUUUUUUUUAAUUAAACUGAAACUUCAUACCCAAUAAAAAUAAAUGUCCUUUCCCUCCUCCUUCCAUCCCUUGAUAACCACUGUUCUGUUUUCUGUCUCUACGAACUUGACUAUUCUAGGUACCUCAUAUAAGUGGGAUUGUACUGUAUUUGUCUUUUUGUGACUAGCUUUUUUGCAUAAUGUCUUCAGAGUAGCAUACAUCAGAAUUUCCCUCUUUUUUAAGGCUGACUAAUAUUCCAUUAUAUGUAUAUACCACAUUUUGUUCAUUCACUCAGCAACGGACAUAUGGACUGUUUCCUCAAUGUAUGUUACGUUUUUGAAUUUUUAAAAUGUGGCUUGAAUUCCUACAACAGGACAACAUUAAAGGAACAAGAAGCUUGAAAGCAAAAAGUUUAUGCUAUGAAAUUAAUGAAUGUCAAUGCAAAAGCUUAUUUAAAACGUAAAAGCUGGUUUCCAAUAACAAAUGUCAUUGAAUCCUGAAAACCAUGACCAAAUUUUGGCAUGUUCUAUACAGUAAGGAUUUGUGUUGCCUUGUUAAAUUUUAUUUUAUUUUAUUUUGAGAUGGAGUUUUGUCCUUGUUGCCCAGGCUGGAGUGCAAUGGCAUGAUCUCAGCCCACCGCA
rnacentral:lncRNA from 1 species